GAGAGAGGAAAGGGGAGGAAAAAGAGAGAGAGGAGAGAGAUAAAGGGAGGAAAAAGAGAGGGAGGAGAGGGAUAAAGGGAGGAAAAAGAGAGAGAGGAGAGAGAUAAAGGGAGGAAAAAGAGAGAGAUGGGAGAGAUAAGGGAGGAAAAGAGAGGAAAAAGAGAGGAGAGAGAUAAAGGGUGGAAAAAGAGAGAGAGGAGAGAGAUAAAGGGGAGGAAAAAAGAGAGAGGAGAGAGAUAAAGGGAGGAAAAAGAGAGAGAGGAGAGAGAGAGAGAGAGAUAAAGGGAGGAAAAAGAGAGAGAGGAGAGAGAUAAAGGGAGGAAAAGAGAGAGGGGGGAGAGAUAAAGGGAGGAAAAAGAGAGGAGAGAGAUAAAGGGAGGAAAAAGAGAGGAGAGAGAUAAAGGGAGGAAAAAGAGAGGAGAGAGAUAAAGGGAGGAAAAGAGAGAGAGGAGAGAGAUAAAGGGAGGAAAAGAGAGAGAGGAGAGAGAUAAAGGGAGGAAAAGAGAGGAGAGAGAAAAAGGGAGGAAAAGAGAGAGAUAAAGGGAGGAAAAAGAGAGAGGAGAGAGAUGAGAAAGAUAAAGGGAGGAAAAAGAGAUAUGAGAGAGGGAGGGAGGAGAGAGAUAAAGAGAGAGAGAUGGUGGGAGGAGAGAGAUCAAGAGAGAGUAGAGGAGAAAUAGAGAGGAAGGAAAGGAGAGAGAGGGAGGGAGGGAGGAGAUAGAAAAAGAGAGCGAGAGGGGGAGAGAGAGAGCGAGAGAGGAAAUGAGAGAGAGAGGAAUGGAGCGAGAGAGGAGGGAGGAAAGGAGAAAGAGAAAGAAAGAGAGUGGAGAGGAGAAAGAGACAGAAAGAGAGAGAGAGAGACAGAAAAAGAGAGAUGAAAGGAGAGAGAGAGUGAGAAAGAGGGAGAGAGAAAGGGAAAGGAGAGAGAAAGAGAUACAGAGAAAGGAGAGAGAGAGAGAGAGAAAGGAGAGAGAGAGGGAGAGAGAAGGGGAAAGGAGAGAGUGAGACAGAGAGAGAAAGGAGAGAGGGAGAGAGAAGGGGAAAGGAGAGAAAGGGAAAGGAGAGAGAGAGAAAGAGGAGAGAGCGAGAGACAGAAAGAGAGAGAGAGAGAGAAAGGAGAGAGCGAGAGAGAGAGAAAGAAGAGCAGAGAAAGAGUGAGAAAGGAAAGAGAGACACUGAGAGAAAGGAUCAAUUGAGAGAGAAAGAGAAAGAGGGAGGAGAAUUUGUACCUGUUGGAUUUAUAGUAAAAUAUGUCUGGUGAGAUCUAUCAACAUCAGAUCACAACUAUCUAUCCUGGACCUAGUUUUAGUAGUGUAGUGUACAGAGGCCCUAACUUCAUGGCCAGGUCUCCUUGCUUUCCUUGACCUUAAACCUCCAUUAAUUUAUUAUGACAUCCACGGUACUACGUCAGCUGAUGACGUGCUAUCAAAUACAUUGAUACUGUUGGCACUGACAUCAAACCAUCCUGGUUUUAAUGACGUAUUACAGUCGGGGUCAAAUAUAUUGGCACUCUUGCAUGAUUCACUAUUUCUUCUGGAAUAAGUUGAAGUUUUAGAAAUGUAAAAUUCAUUUGAAUUUGGUUGGAGGCAAUGAUUGUCAUUUAGUGUGCAAAUGAUCUAACCUGUGGUACGUUGCAGGUUCCUACAGGGUAAAAGGAGCCCUUCAACCAGUUUUAAAAUGAGGAAACUGAACAUUAUGCUAGGGUGCCAAUAUAUCAGACCGAAUCUGUUUAUGUUAAACUGCAGCCAGCCAGCGUAAAGGUAGAAUUAUUCAAGUGUGCAUCCCAACUGGCACCCCAUUCCCUUUAUAGGGCACUAUACUAUGGGUUGUGGUCAAAAGUAGUGCACUAUGUAGGGAAUUGUCAGGUCGUGUUGUGUGUCCAGUACAGUAUACAGUACAAUGACAGAAAUGUGUUUGUUUUUUUGUAUUGGUGAAUUUCUUCUCAACGUAUACUCUACUGUAGAUGUUAAAUUAAUACAACACAUUUCCACUCAUUCCAUGUGCUUUCUUUUAUUUUGUUCUUAAUUAUACAAUGGGUGGUUAGAAUCCUGAAUGCUGAUUGGUUUAAACUGCAUUCCAGCUGGUGUCUAUUCCACAAGUUACCACUGGCUAAAUCUAUGAUGUUAAAAUGCCUAUUUACUCUGUUCCAUUUGACUGUAAUCCACUGUCUCAUCAGCCCAGCCAGGCAAUGUAUAAACUUGAUCUCCACUAUAAAAACAAUCUAG
ensembl:lncRNA